CAGUGUUCCCUGCCCUUCGGGGUAGGAUCGCCACCCUUGAUUAUUUAUGAAUGUUGCUUUGGCGGGCCUCGCAGCCUAGCCGCGCCCCGGCUUCGGCGGGGGGGCGCCUGCCAGAGGAUUCUACAAACCUGAUUAUUAGUGUCGUCUGAGUACUAUAUAAUAGUUA
rnacentral:misc_RNA from 1 species